CUAUGCGCCUUGCCAGCCCGCUCAGGUGUGCCAGCAGCCGCGGUAAUACGGAGGAUGCGAGCGUUAUCCGGAUUUAUUGGGUUUAAAGGGUACGUAGGUGGUUAAUUAAGUCAGCGGUGAAAGUUUGUGGCUCAACCAUAAAAUUGCCGUUGAAACUGGUUGACUUGAGUAUAUUUGAGGUAGGCGGAAUGCGUGGUGUAGCGGUGAAAUGCAUAGAUAUCACGCAGAACUCCGAUUGCGAAGGCAGCUUACUAAACUAUAACUGACACUGAAGCACGAAAGCGUGGGGAUCAAACAGG
rnacentral:rRNA from 1 species